GUUUUUUGGGUGUGUCUCAUAUAACUGUACAGUUUAUUUCCCUUCUCCCUGAGUGUGAGUGUGAGUGUGAGAGAGACAGAGCGAGAGAGCAAGAGAUUACUGGUGGACUUUCUGUAAACUGGUUGUGAGGAACUCUGUGUCUGGGAUCAUGAACACUGAAGUCCUUAUUCUGGUGAUGUGGGUUUGCAGUGUGUGGUAUCCACAGCUCGUCACAAGCCAGAGGUGCCGGGAUGGUUAUGAGCUUUCACCGGAAUUUGUCUGUGUUGAUACAGACGAGUGUGAGACUUAUGGUGUUGCAAC